CAGGUUUACAGACACUAAUAGAAAGCAGCACAGAGCACAAGCAUCAUGUUUACCACUUUACCUCUUUCAUGUUUACCAACCAAGAAUGAGGCAGGGAGAGGCCAUGGGAGUUUCCCGAGGACCGUUUUGCCCCUCUCCUUGACGGCGGUCGUCUUUUGCCGGUGAUUUCUCCGACCACUUUUAAAACGGUCCUCAAGCCGUCGAAUGCGGAAACCCAAACUGUCUUUAUCUUUUUCUGUAAGUUGUGACAGUAACUCUGCAGUAUGUGCAUGCAUGUUAAUCUUCUCAUCUCACCCUUUGCUAAUAAUCAAUCAUUAGAGGCUGUGAUGAAAGAAAAUCGUUCAAAGUAGUCAAAUUUAAUCUGGGUUUUGAGAAUUUUUUUGAGGGUUUUGGCUAAUUUUUCCAUUUGGCUUGGCAGGGAAAAAAAAAAAAAAAAAAGAAGAAGAAGAAGAGAUAAUACAAGUUUAUCUUCAUGAUAUUGCAGAUCAGAAUGUUGGUUUUGUUUUGUUUUGUUUUGUUUUUGUUUUGGGUUUUGGUUUGGUUUGGUUUGGUUGGAAAUCAUUUGGGCGCAAUUUGCCGCCAUGGUUGAUUACCCCACCUCAAAAUUCUCGACCUGAUUGUUUGAUGAAAUGUGGAUCUGAGCCUCCUUUAAAAAGAGGAAGAAUUGGAAGCUGCAUUGUUGAAAAGGAUCUUUGUUCAACAAUAUAAUUAGUGUAAGAUUGAGGCUGGGAGAGGCCGUGGGAGUUUCUUAAGGACCGUUUGCCACUCUCUCUUGAUGACCACCAGUCAUCGUUAGCCGGUGAUUUCUCUGAUCACCCCUAAAUGGCCUUAUGAUGAACAUACAAGCCCAUGAAUAUGAAUUUCACAAUCUAGUGUUAAUUUAAUUGUCAGUUUAGUCAAUUUGGGAUUUAGGCUUGAUUGAUUGAUUGAUAUAAUCAAUUUGGGGUUCUUCUAAGGUGGAUUAUUGAACUAUUGGUUAUUAUUACUGAAGUUAUGAAAGAUUAUAAUGAUCGAUUUAUUGCAAGAAUCUUGCUAUGUGCCAUUGAUGUUGACAUAAUUAAACAAGAAGAAUUUGAUGUGAUUCUUGGAGCCGUAUUUGAUAAUUGAGUCAAAUUUGGUUGCUAAUGUGUUGCAAGUUGUUGUUUGUAACCCUUUAUUGUAGGAUGGAACUAUGAAAAUGGACCUUUACUUCCCUGCCCAGUGCAGCUGCCCCUCCUGCUUUAGCUCAGGGACGGGCCUGCAUUUAUCAGUUUUUACGGUUUACCAAGAAUGAGGCAGGAGAUGCUAUGGGAGUUUCCCAAGGGCCGUUUUGCCCCUCUCCUUUGACGACCACCAUCAGCGGCGGUCAUCUUUUGCCGGUGAUUUCUCCAACCACUGUAAAAACGGCUCUUAAACUGUCAAGUGCUAGAAACUUAACUGUAGAGUGCCAGAAACUUAACCGUCUUAUCUGUCUGUUUGAGCUGACUGUGGAACUCUGCAGUCUGCACACAUCGUUGUCUUUUUACCCUACAAACUUUAUCAAUCAUUAGAGGCUGUGAUGAGUAAACCAUUCAAAGUAGUCAAUCAAUUUGGGUUUGGAGAAUUUUUUUGAGUUGUUUGGUUAAUUUCCCUUUGGCUUGGAAGCAAUCAAUGAUGGGUCUUUUUAUUUUUGAUGUUUAGAGAGCCACAAGGGCGGGUGAUGAGAAUCGAUCCUAGGAUCUCUUAGGAAAGCUCUAACCACUUGUGCUAUCCCCUCACUCUCAUCAAAUGAUGGGUCUUUUGUUGUUGCAGUUGUGUCUUUGGGCUCUAUUUGUUUCAUCUGAAAUAUUCUGGACCCAUCUAUUUUUGUUUGCCGCCAUGGUUGAUUUUUCCACCUCAAAAUUCAUCACCAAAUUGUUUGAUGAAAUGUGGAUCUGAGCCUCCUGAAAAAAAAAAAAAAAAGGAAAAAAAAGAGCUGAAAACACAAUAACCUAAUCCUGCUCCACAUCCAGGGGAGACAAAUUUGGAAGCUAGAAUUGUUGACAAGGUGUCUUGUUGACUGUGAAAAAGCAAACAGGAAAUCCAUCUGAGGGAGCUAUGGAGUAGUUGCCUAGUUGGUAUUGAAGGGGAGCAAGCAUUUGCUAUUGGCUUGGCAGUCCAACGCCCACGAGCUUUGCUUGGGUUGGCUUGCCGCCAUGGUUAAUCAAAGGUGUAUGAUCUGAGCUUACUAAAAAUGUGUUUGUGUAUUCAUACAAUUUUUGAACGAUCCAUUUAUUAUAAUUAAAAGCUACCCCUUUCCCACUCGUAUUUAUCAAAGCAAAACUUUGUUACUAAGGGCCUGUUCUGAUUUACUGCAAACAAUUGAACUGAAUAGAGCUGAAAUGAAUUGUUUAUGAGAGAAGGAAAUUAGGAAUACCAAGAAUGAGGCAAGGAGAGGCCAUGGGAGUUUCCUGAGGGCCGUUUUGCCCCUCUCUCUAGACGACCACUGUAGGUGGCGGUCAUCUUUAGCCGGUGAUUUCUCUGACCACAGCAAAAACGGCCCUCAAACUGGCGCACGCCAGAACCUUAACUGCCUUAUCUGUCUCUGUGAGAUGCGACUCUGUAACUGUUGUCUGCCAGCAUCUUUUAUCUUCUUACUCCACAAUUAUCAUCAACCUUAAGAGGCUGUGAUGAGUGUAAACCGUUCAAAGUAGUCGAUCAAUUUUGGUUUGGAGAAUAUUUUGAAUUGUUUGGUAAAUUUCCAUUUGGCUUGGCAGCAAUCAAAUGAUGGGUGUUUUGUAUGUUGUGGUUGUUUCUUAGGCUUUGUUUGGUUCAUUUGGAAUUUUUCUGGACCCAAUUUGCUUGAUUUGCCGCCAUGGUUAAUUUACCCACCUUGAAAUCCUCAACCAAAUUGUGUGAUGAAAUGUGGUUCUGAGCCUUCUAAAAAAAAACAGCUCUAGAUCCAGAGGGGGAAAAAUGGAAGCUAGCAUUGCUGACAAGGUAAUGCAUAUUACUCAGUUUUGCAUUAUUUUUGUGGUUUAAGUUUUGGGAGGAUUAAAUGGGAAAAUUAUUCAUGCAUCCAUUAAAUAGAGCCUUGAUGAGGUUGCUUCUGAGCAGAAGUUAAAUCCCAGGACUCCUUUAUGCUUGUAUCUCACCUGCAGUAUAAAGUUUCAUAUUGUAUGAUGUAAGUUUUAGGCCUUUGCUCUCACCAGUCAUUCAGUCAACAACUGAGCUAUAUCAGUAUUAGUAUUGAGUAUUCGAAGUAAUGGAUCUACCUUGGGUUCAUUUGUGAAUGACCGGGUUAUUUUAAAAGCUUCAAAGAUUCCAUUUUUUGUACUUCAAUAUACUCCCUAUUUAUGAGCCUCUCAAUUAUAGGAUGUUACUUUAUUUAGACUUUGAGUCCCUUCCUGAUAUCUAAUGAAGGUUGAAUUUCUCUCUCUGUAUUCUUAUGUAACAAUGUGUGCACGUGUGAAUAUUGUGAUGGAUGUUAUUGUUCAAUUUGCUGAUUGCAAAAUGAGAGAUGUUCAACUCUAGCAGGAAGGUGUUAAGAUGAAGAAGUUGAUUGGCUUUGGUGUUGUUGCAUAUCCCAACUAAUCGGGUACAUUAUGGUAGGGAAGUUUGCAUUUUGGUGAUUCUACAAAUGCUUAAGAUGCUCAUAGUAACUUGCUCGCAUACUAUAAGACUUGGCGCAAUCAAGUGAUAGGCGACAUCAUCAAAUGUUUUGCUUGUUCAAAGGCAAAUUUAGAUUUGUACUCUUACUGGUAUUAUUAGUAUGUACUAUGUAGGCAGUUAAAAGAGGCUCACAUUCUGUGAGACUCAGUGCAAUCAAGUGACAAGCGACAGCAUCAAGUAUCUUGCUGGUUCAAAGGCAACUUCAGUUUUUGUACCAUUACUGAUACAAUUAUGUAGGCACUGAAAAGUUACAACUCCAUAGUGAUUAUUGAAUGUUCUAGCAUCAUGUACAGACCAAAGCUUUCUUGUAUAAUGUAUGGAGUAUGAGAUUGAAGAAAUUAUGCUGAUUAAUGAUAAUAAAGAUUGAUUAAAUGU